rnacentral:rRNA from 1 species
GUGGGGAAUUUUGGACAAUGGGCGCAAGCCUGAUCCAGCAAUGCCGCGUGCAGGAAGAAGGCCUUCGGGUUGUAAACUGCUUUUGUACGGAACGAAACGGUCCUGGUUAAUACCUGGGGCUAAUGACGGUACCGUAAGAAUAAGCACCGGCUAACUACGUGCCAGCAGCCGCGGUAAUACGUAGGGUGCGAGCGUUAAUCGGAAUUACUGGGCGUAAAGUGUGCGCAGGCGGUGCUGUAAGACAGGCGUGAAAUCCCCGGGCUCAACCUGGGAAUUGCGCUUGUGACUGCAGUGCUGGAGUACGGCAGAGGGGGAUGGAAUUCCGCGUGUAGCAGUGAAAUGCGUAGAUAUGCGGAGGAACACCGAUGGCGAAGGCAGUCCCCUGGGCCUGUACUGACGCUCAUGCACGAAAGCGUGGGGAGCAAACAGGAUUAGAAACCCGGGUAGUCC